GAAUCUUUAAAGACCUUGGGUAUCCUUUUGCACUAUCCAAAAGCUCCAUGUACACAGUGGGGGCUCCUCAUACAUGGCCUCACAUUGUGGCAGCCUUAGUUUGGCUAAUAGACUGCAUCAAGGUAUUUGAUUUGUUCUUUUGAAAUGUAUACAUGGGAAAGGGUUUUUUUCCUCAAAAAAAUAUUUUCUCUCCCAGUCUUUUGACAGUAUUCUCAAAGUCUGCUUCAGAGUUUUCAUUUUUCAAAGCACAUUUGAUUUUAAGUUUUUCAAACUAUUAUCACAAGGUAA
rnacentral:sRNA from 1 species